UCAAGUUAUUAAGGGUGCAGGGCGGAUGCCUUGGCACUAGGAGCCGAUGAAGGACGUGAUAAGCUGCGAUAAGCUUCGGGGAGUUGCACGUAAACUUUGAUCCGAAGAUUUCCGAAUGAGGAAACUCACUUAGAGUAAUGUCUAAGUAUCAUUAAGUGAAUACAUAGCUUAAUGAGGGGAACUCAGGGAACUGAAACAUCUAAGUACCUGAAGGAAGAGAAAGAAAUUCGAUUCCGUAAGUAGCGGCGAGCGAACGCGGAUUAGCCCAAACCAAUAAAGUUUUCUUUAUUGGGGUUGCGGACAUAUCAUAACGAAGAGGUAUCGUAAUUGAAGAGGUUUGGAAAGACCCACCACAGAAGGUAAUAGUCCUGUAUGUUAAACGAGAAGACUUUAGAUAUGAUCCAGAGUACCACGGGACACGUGAAACCCUGUGGGAAGCAGGAGGGACCACCCUCCAAGGCUAAAUACUACCUAGUGACCGAUAGCGUAUAGUACCGUGAGGGAAAGGUGAAAAGAACCCCGGGAGGGGAGUGAAAUAGAACCUGAAACCCUGCACUUACAAGCUGUGGAAGCACAUUUCUUGUGUGACCGCGUACUUUUUGUAGAACGGGCCAACGAGUUACGUUAAGUAGCAAGGUUAAGCACUUAAGGUGUGGAGCCGUAGCGAAAGCGAGUUUUAACUGAGCGUUCAGUUACUUGACGUAGACCCGAAACCGGGCGACCUACCCAUGAGCAGGAUGAAGCGAAAGUAAAAUUUCGUGGAGGUCCGAACCCACGAGCGUUGAAAAGCUCGGGGAUGACUUGUGGGUAGCGGUGAAAUUCCAAUCGAGCCCGGAGAUAGCUGGUUCUCCCCGAAAUAGCUUUAGGGCUAGCCUCAAGGUGAGAGAUACGGAGGUAGAGCACUGAAUGUCCUAGGGGGUAUUGCACCUACCGAAGACUAUCAAACUCCGAAUGCCGUCAUCUUAUACUUGGGAGUCAGACUGUGGGUGAUAAGAUUCAUAGUCGAAAGGGCAACAGCCCAGAUCGUCAGCUAAGGUCCCUAAAUGUAAGUUAAGUGGUAAAGGAUGUGGGAUUGCACAGACAACCAGGAUGUUGGCUUAGAAGCAGCCACUCAUUCAAAGAGUGCGUAAUAGCUCACUGGUCGAGUGAUCCUGCGCCGAAGAUUUCCGGGGCUAAAACUUACUACCGAAGCUACGGCAUCAGUAAUGAUGGGUAGGGGAGCUUCCCAUACGGGUUGAAGCAUGACCGUAAGGACAUGUGGACAGUAUGGGAGUGAGAAUGUUGGCAUGAGUAGCGAGAUGUGGGUGAGAAUCCCACAGGCCGUAAACCCAAGGUUUCCAGGGGAAGGUUCGUCCGCCCUGGGUUAGUCGGGACCUAAGCUGAGGCCGAAAGGCGUAGGUGAUGGACAACAGGUUGAUAUUCCUGUACUACCGAUAACCGUUUGAGAGAAGGGAUGACACAGUAGGAUAAGCUAAGCACACUGUUGGUUAUGUGUGCCCAAGCAUUGAGGCAGUCAAAGUAGGCAAAUCCGCUUUGAUAAUGCUGGGAUGUGAUGGGGAGCGAAAUUUAGUAGCGAAGUAGCUGAUUUCACACUGUCAAGAAAAGUCUCUAUCGAGGUUAAAGGUACCCGUACCGCAAACCGACACAGGUGGGUGAGGAGAGUAUCCUAAGGCCAGCGAGAGAACUGUUGUUAAGGAACUCGGCAAAAUGACCCCGUAACUUAGGGAUAAGGGGUGCCACCAUCAGGUGGCCGCAGAGAAUAGGCCCAAGCGACUGUUUACCAAAAACAUAGGUUUCUGCUAAGUCGCAAGACGAUGUAUAGGAGCUGACGCCUGCCCGGUGCUGGAAGGUUAAGGGGAUCUGUUAGAGCAAUCGAAGCAGUGAACUUAAGCCCCAGUAAACGGCGGCCGUAACUAUAACGGUCCUAAGGUAGCGAAAUUCCUUGUCGGGUAAGUUCCGACCCGCACGAAAGGCGUAACGAUUUGGGCACUGUCUCAACAACAGACUCGGUGAAAUUGUAAUUCCGGUGAAGAUGCCGGAUACCUGCGACAGGACGGAAAGACCCCAUGGAGCUUUACUGUAGCUUGACAUUGGGUCUUGGUACUACAUGUACAGGAUAGGUGGGAGGCUUUGAAACCAGGACGCCAGUUUUGGCGGAGCCAUCCUUGGGAUACCACCCUUGUAGUACUGGGACUCUAACCAUAG
rnacentral:rRNA from 1 species